GUAGAUGAUACGGUGUAGUUGGUAGAUGAUACGGUGUAGAUGGUAGAUGAUACGGUGUAGAUGAUACGGUGUAGAUGGUAGAUGAUACGGUGUAGUUGGUAGAUGAUACGGUGUAGAUGGUAGAUGAUACGGUGUAGUUGGUAGAUGAUACGGUGUAGUUGGUAGAUGAUACGGUGUAGUUGGUAGAUGAUACGGUGUAGUUGGUAGAUGAUACGGUGUAGUUGGUAGAUGAUACGGUGUAGUUGGUAGAUGAUACGGUGUAGUUGGUAGAUGAUACGGUGUAGUUGGUAGAUGAUACGGUGUAGUUGGUAGAUGAUACGGUGUAGUUGGUAGAUGAUACGAUGUAGUUGGUAGAUGAUACGGUGUAGUUGGUAGAUGAUACGGUGUAGCUGGUAGAUGAUACGGUGUAGUUGGUAGAUGAUACGGUGUAGAUGGUAGAUGAUACGGUGUAGUUGGUAGAUGAUACGGUGUAGUUGGUAGAUGAUACGGUGUAGAUGGUAGAUGAUACGGUGUAGAUGGUAGAUGAUACGGUGUAGUUGGUAGAUGAUACGGUGUAGAUGAUACGGUGUAGUUGGUAGAUGAUACG